NNNNNNNNNNNNNNNNNNNNNNNNNNNNNNNNNNNAAAUAACUGGUGUUUGUGUACACCAAAUUAAAAUCAGCAAAACAUGUCACAGUCAAGCAGAAAUCUCAACUGCUAAGACUGAAACAAGGUAUUGUGUUGGUAAAAAGAGAAAAAUUCAAACUUUGCCUUUAAGUUCAGAAGAAAUGACAGAAUGUAAAGAUGUUAAGAAACGGAAAUACAAUUUUAAAGAAAACAGAGAGAUAAUUGAACCAAUUUCUAAAUGCAGUUCAAAUGCAGAUGUCAUUUGCUUAGGAGAUAGAGCUAACAUAAUGUUUAAUUUCAGUCCCUUGUGUUUUGAAACUAAACAAAAAUUAUGUAGUAAAGUACAUAUAGAGUUUCAGGGUGAAAAUCUAUCUUUGCCAUCAGACAAUGGACCAAUGGGCUCUCCUUGUGAAACAGAAAGCAUUCUUGAAGACGGAAAUUGUUUCUUUCGGGCAGUGGCACAGGUGAUGUGUGGUACACAAAAAGCUCACAGAACACUUAGACUUGCAGUUGUGAAACAUAUGCAGUUGCACAGCUCUGAAUACAAGAAUCUCUUAAGAUCUCAAUACACAUCGAUGGAAGAUUAUUUAUCUUCUUCAAAAAUGAAGUACGUGGGAACAUGGGCCACUGAGGUUGAAAUUCAAUCCACAGCAAACUAUUUAGGGGUUGACAUUUUUACAUUUCACCUUGGAAAAUGGUUGAAGUAUAGGUGUAUGCAUGAAAAGAUGUGCAACCAAGCCAUAUACUUGCAACACUCCAAUGAAAACCAUUAUGAAGUUGUUGUUUGUGUAAAACAAUUUGAGUCUCAUAACUGUUAUAAUUUGUGUCAGAACAAAAAUGAUGAUGGUAAACGUACACGGACAAGACCAUGCCUAAAGGCACAGAGUGAAGUUUAUGGAACACAGCAGAUGAUAGAUUUUGUUGGUGAUGAAUCAAAUAAAGAUGCUUUUGUUAAUAAUAGCAGCUACUUUAAAAAAUAUUAUUUACUAAAAAGAGUCAAAAGCAAAAUAAAGGAAAACAUACAAUGUAGGUAUCAUAAGAACAUGGAGUUUCAGCAACAUGUAAAAGCUGUGAGUAGAAGUAGGUAUUAUAGUGAUGUGUUAUAUAAUAAGUCAAUAAAACAAUCAAGUAAACUGAAAUAUCAUGGCAAUGAACAACACAAGCAUAAAUUGAAAGAGUACAGCAGACUGAAAUAUCGUAUUGAUGACAAACGCAAACAUAAACUUAAGGAGUACAGUAGAUUAAAAUAUUGUAAUGACAAGCAACGUAAACUGAAACUAAAAGAGUACAACAAAUUAAAAUAUACUCAUAAUGUGGAACAUAAGCAUAAACUGAAGGAGUACAGUAGGGUGAAGUAUCAGGGCAAUCUGCUACAUAAGAAUAAACUAAAGGAGUACAGCAGAACUAAGUAUUGU
ensembl:lncRNA